rnacentral:tmRNA from 1 species
CCCCUUUCAUUCAUUCCGGUAACUCCCUAUAUAUAUUUUGUCGAGCAAUUGACUAUGGCGCUAGAGGGCGCUGCGGAAUAAGCGUAGUGGACCCGGGGGCAGUACCCGGCGCCUCCACCAAUUUCGCCGACAGGCCAGCGUAAAGAUGGUCUCUCGGCACCUCCCUUGAAAGAUAGGGAGGGGUUUUGGGGGCGAAAUAGGAUCGACACGCGUGGUAAAGGCAGAUGUCUGCGUCCGGCAUGGUACCGCCGUAUCGGGCCAAAUCGCUAAAUGCGAACGAUAACGACGAGAUGGUUGCUGUCGCUGUGUAAGCAGUCUCGGUAACAAAGUCGUAAUUCCUAGUGGACUCAUCCUCUUCUAGGUGGGGCCUGGGGGGGCCUAGCAACAGAACCCCCCAUU